AGCAUUGUUCUCCCGUGUUAGCAUGCUAGCUAGCUCAAUGCUAGCGGGGUAUGUAUGCGUCUGCACUAUGCAGACUGGCAGAAUUCUGGUUCAGUGAAUCAGAGCAGAGUAAAUUGUAGCAGACCAGCAAAAACGUGCUUUAUUCCCCAUAAAAUUAGUCCAGUAUUAGACAUCAAUAGAAUUAUUAGUUUCUUUUUAAUUAGGUGGUGGUUUUAAAAUGGACUAUUGCUGUAUGUCUGUUGUUUUCUAUAAGGGCCGUUGUUAUGCAUGCCAUAACAAAAAAGGCAGGAAUACUGAGGUAGCAACGAAGUGGAUGUCCACAACUUCUUUAAGAUGCAGGCUCCAAAGACGGCCCUGGUGUAAUGCAAAGGCUGUCCAGCAGGCUCACAGACAUCUCCUGUUAACUGAAAGAGAAGCAUUUAAAAUAGUUGUCCAUUUUGACCUUGAUUGCAUUGACAACAUGCCCAGGCACACUGUCUGCUUCCCAUUUCUCAGUGCCACCUGCACGAAAACAGUGACUUUUCCACCUCAAGUCUUUUGAGGAGUUUUAAAAACAGUUAUUUUAAUUUCUCUGAAUUGGGGUUCAGAAUUUCACAGAAUCUAAAACACUUGACUCUGUGUUUCAAAGAUCUUUGCAAAACCAUCAGUCUUUUGUACAAAACACAUUUAAUGGUCAAAGAUUAAAAAAUGAAGCAUUA